rnacentral:rRNA from 1 species
GACGAACGCUGGCGGCGUGCUUAACACAUGCAAGUCGUACGGUAAGGCCCUUUCGGGGGUCCACGAGUGGCGAACGGGUGAGUAACACGUGAGUAACCUGCCCACAACUUUGGGAUAACGCUAGGAAACUGGUGCUAAUACUGGAUAUGUGCUCCUGCUGCAUGGUGGGGGUUGGAAAGCUCCGGCGGUUGUGGAUGGACUCGCGGCCUAUCAGCUUGUUGGUGGGGUAGUGGCCUACCAAGGCGGCGACGGGUAGCCGGCCUGAGAGGGUGACCGGCCACAUUGGGACUGAGAUACGGCCCAGACUCCUACGGGAGGCAGCAGUGGGGAAUAUUGCACAAGGGGCGCAAGCCGGAUGCAGCAACGCCGCGGGCGGGAUGACGGCCUUCGGGUUGUAAACCGCUUUCAGCAGGGACGAAGCUUUUUGUGACGGUACCUGCAGAAGAAGCACCGGCUAACUACGUG